UGUGGGGCUAGCCUGGGCUGCUAGGCGUAGCCUGUAACCUGAAAUCGUCUAUAUGCAGGAGGCGAAUUCCCCCUAAGAGGUAAUCGGGGUGAUAUAGGCCUACUAAAUCCAACUGAGAAGUUCAGCCCUAAGGGGUGAUAUAUCCUAUGAAUCCUUCAGGUCCGAAAGGAAGCAGAGGUAAGUAGGGUAUAUUACGCUCUUAGGUCAACUGAAUGGAGGAGGAUUUGGUAGUAUACCUGUAUUGUCCCGGUUAUCAAUUAGGGGGUGCCCCACA
rnacentral:SRP_RNA from 1 species